rnacentral:rRNA from 1 species
UACGGAGGAUGCAAGCGUUAUCCGGAAUGAUUGGCGUAAGCGUCCGCAGGUGGCUGUGUAAGUCUGCUGUCAAAGAGCGAAGCUCAACUUCGUAAAGGCAGUGGAAACUACACGGCUAGAGUGCGUUCGGGGCAGAGGGAAGUUCCUGGUGUAGCGGUGAAAUGCGUAGAGAUCAGGAAGAACACCGGUGGCGAAGGCGCUCUGCUAGGCCGCAACUGACACUGAGGGACGAAAGCUAGGGAGCGAAUGG